UACAGGGGGUGCAAACGUUGCUCGGAAUCAUUGGGCGUAAAGCGCACGUAGGCGGUUCGUUAUGUCGGAUGUGAAAGCCCUUGGCUUAACCGAGGAAGUGCAUCCGAAACUGGCGAGCUAGAGUACUAAAGAGGAUCGCGGAAUUCCCGGUGUAGAGGUGAAAUUCGUAGAUAUGGGGAGGAACACCGGUGGCGAAGGCGGCCAUCUGGACGGAUACUGACGCUGAGACGCGAAAGCGUGGGGAGCAAACAGG
rnacentral:rRNA from 1 species